GAGCAGGUAAAACUGAAAGUGUUCAACAGUUAGUUCAGACGCCAUUUGAAGUAAACAGAGCAGGAGCAGGAAAACUGAAAGCUGAGGCAGGACCUUCUGAAGUCCAGAAGAUGAGUGAUUGUGUGGAGGAAGAGGAGGACAGAGCAGAGUCUCCAGGAUCCAGCUGUCUGUCUAUGAAGAGUGACGGGUCCAAACCGUUUAAUCUUCCCAACUUCAGUAAUGAACCUGGACCCUCAGACACAAAAGGUCAGGACCACAGACUGAGAGCAGAGACUCCAGGACCCAGCUGUCUGUCUAUGAAGAG